GUGGCGCGCACGUUUCACUUCUUAACGUUCUGCCGCGAUGACGUCAUUCCGGGCAGAGGAGGUAAGAAGCGGGCCACGUGAGCGAGCGAAGCACAUCCGUGGUUACUAUUUACCACUAGAUCCCUGGCAUGUGCCUGGCACUCCUUUCAGGACCUCAGAGACAACAUGGCAUGUUGUCAUGGCGUGACAACAGAUGUGCUUCAUCAAAAUGUAGUCCAUAAAAGAGGGGCUGGUUCUCCUGCAGCAGAUGUAACCUCUGAUUCUGGUCCAGACCACCUGCCUCCAGCACCAAUGCAAAGUGCUCAAUGUAGCGCAGUGAGAGGCGGUCCUGCAGGGAGGAGAUCACAUCCUGGAAGAAGAGA